rnacentral:rRNA from 1 species
GAUGAACGCUAGCGGCAGGCUUAACACAUGCAAGUCGAGGGGCAGCACGUCUUCGGAUGGUGGCGACCGGCGCACGGGUGCGUAACGCGUAUACAACCUACCUUAUAGAGGGGAAUAGCCCAGAGAAAUUUGGAUUAAUGCCCCAUAGUAUUAUUGAAUAGCAUUAUUUGAUGAUUAAACAUUUAUGGCUAUAAGAUGGGUAUGCGUUCUAUUAGCUAGAUGGUAAGGUAACGGCUUACCAUGGCAACGAUAGAUAGGGGUCCUGAGAGGGAGAUCCCCCACACUGGUACUGAGACACGGACCAGACUCCUACGGGAGGCAGCAGUGAGGAAUAUUGGACAAUGGGCGAGAGCCUGAUCCAGCCAUGCCGCGUGCAGGAAGACGGCCCUAUGGGUUGUAAACUGCUUUUAUACGGGAAGAAACACUCCUUCGUGAAGGAGCUUGACGGUACCGUAAGAAUAAGGAUCGGCUAACUCCGUGCCAGCAGCCGC